UUUUUUUUUCUUUUUUUUUUUUUUUUUGAGUUGGAAUGCAUUUAUUUAUCCCUCAUUCUUGAAAAAUAUUUUCAAUGAUGAAUUCAAAGUUUACUGUUAUUUCUUUCUGCAUAUUAUCAUUACACUAUCUUCUAAGUUCCCUAGUAACAAUUGGAACUUUAAAAGUAAUCUUAAAAUGUCAUCUGUUUUUUCUCUCUGACUGCAUAUAUGAUUUUUCUUUUUUGUCUUUAGUUUUGUAUAGUUUCACUGUGAAGUAUCUAGUUGUAGAUUUUUAUUCAUCCAUCUUUCUUGGUUUCUUGACUCUAGAUUGGUGACUUUCAUCAGUUCUGGAAAAUUCUGGAUUCCUUUCUUUCCAUUCCUUCUGGGACUCUGAUAACACAUGUAUUUUUCUACCCUCCAUGUUUGUCAAACAUCUCUUUUAUAGUAUGUCUCUCUUUUAUCUCUCGAGGCUGUAUUCUGGUAAAUUUCAAAAAUAUUCUGUUCACUAGUUCUUUCUUCAGCUUUGUCUCAUUUUCUGUCAAAGUCAUCCAUUUAGUUUCUAAUUUAUGUUAUUUUUAUUUCUAAAGUUCUGUUUGGUUAUUUUCCAAAUCUGUAUUCUCUUAACUCAUUUUUUCAGCCUCUCUUUAAUUUAUUAAAAACAUUUAAUAUAUAUAGUUAAAAUUCUAUUUCUAAACAUUCCAAUAUCUGAAGCAUUUGUGGGUCUGCUUCUACUAUCUGAUCUUUUUUCUACUUGUUCUUACUUAUGGUCCCUUGAUUUCUUCUAUGUAUGUGAUUUCUUUUUAUGUUAUGUGAUCCUUAGAACUUUAUAUAUAGAAAUUGAGUGACAGCUGAAAUGAAAAUGAGUUCUCUGGAGAAGAUACUAAUUUACUGCUGCUAGAUGCCUGGGAUCACUAGCAAUUCAGAACCAUAAAUACUAAAUUCUCAGGUUGAAAUUCUUCAGAUCAUUCAUGUCAGACCUGGUUUGUAGCUAUGAAUCCUCUGGGAAGCUUUUUUACCCUUAACUCUGCUCCAUUGUUUGAGACAAUUGUCCUUGAAUACCUUUGGGGUAUUGGCUUUAUGAAGAGUAUCCUAUUGGAUUUCCUACAUUAGGAAGGGUCUGAAGCCACGUAACACCAUGAUAACAGUUCAUGGUCUUCCAGUUCAUCCAGCUUAGGAAAAACCCUAAAGAUGAAGAUGAAAGGUGGCUUUUUUUUUUUUUUUGAGACGGAGUCUCACUCUGUGGCCAGGCUGGAGUACAGUGGUGUGAUCUCGGCUCACUGCAACCUCCACCUCCUGGGUUCAAGCGAUUCUUCUGCCUCAGCCUCCUGAGUAGCUGGGACUACAGGCACCUGCCACCACGCUUAGCUCAUUUUUCUAUUUUUAGUAGAGACAGGAUUUCACCAUGUUGGCCAGGAUGGUCUCCAUCUCUUGACCUCAUGUUCCACCCCCAUCGGCCUCCCAAAGUGCUGGGAUUACAGGGAAAGGUGGCACUCGUGGCUACUUUUAUUUGUCCCCCAUCCUCCACCCCUAAAUAUUUCCACUUGAUUGCUUGCUCUUUAAUGCAUUGUAAACUUUUUAAAAUACUUAAUUCUGAAUUUUUAGUUGAUUUUCAUGAAAGUUUUGAUCAGACUAUAAUGAAUGAUUACUUAGUUCUGACUAUAGUGUCAUGUAAAAUGGACUAAUUGCAACUUUUUAUCCACCUAAUAAUGUCCACCUUCCUCAAACCAUGUCCAAAAAGUCCCCAACUUAUAUAUCCUUAUAUAUUAACGGUGUAGAGAAACCCAAGUUCAGGGCUUUUAGUAAGCCAACUGCCCUGAUUUCCAGUAUACUAUGACAACUGGAAAGGUAACCCCUGGCUUCCCAACCCCAACCACUUAUUCAUUGAAUCCGUGUAGUAAUAUGCCUUAGACAGAAGUGAAGAGUUACUAAUACCCAGGACUACUAAAGUUGACAGCUCCUUUCCCUUCUGAAUAUGAAAUAAUAAACACUAUUAUAAACUCUAGAAUGGUAUUUUUAAAAAUAAUACUAUUAAUAAUGCUUCAGGUUCAAUAUAACUUUACUAGACUCAUAAGCCUCACCAAUAUAUAUUAAGAUUUUGAGUUCUAAACAAUUAACUUAGAAAUGAAUUUUUUGAGGCAAGCAUCUCAUAAGUUGUAGCCAACAUGUAUCCAAGUCAGGUAUUUCCUAGAUUGUAACUCUACACAACCUCUGAUUAGUAUUCUUAGGUGAAAUUUAUGAAUAGUAUCACCACCUUCAUUUAUUAUAGAAGAAAAGUUAUGAAGUAUUUAACAAAUCAAAUUUAUUGACACUCUUAGGAAACUAUCUUUAAAUUAUUUUAUCAGGACCUGCCUUUUAAUAUUGACUGAGAUAGUGUUGCUAAGGAAAACAUUCUCCUGGCAUGUUGUCCUUUUUAUACUUAGCAGCAAUAUCAUGAAUUUGAAUCUGAAGGUAAAUCUCCCUCAACAAGACAUGUGAAAUACUUUUAAAAUAAAGAGAGAUGGAGGUAAGGAUUUGGGAGCAAUAUCUUCCCUGAAAGUAUGCCUUUCUGAGUUGUUUCACACCUCAAAGCUUAUAGAGUUAGCAUUCUAUGUUGAUUUAAAAUCAAAUUUAAUAAAAACGGUUGUCUUCCAGUUUGUGGACAAAAGAACUCAGAUAAAUUUUGACAUCUUUACUACGAAAUCUGAACAUAUCCAAAUAUCUCUAACAUUCAAGGGGUAAAUGAUGAUAUUUGUUUAUUUUGCUGUUAAACUUUUAGUAAGAAAAUAUAGUAAAGUUAUCAGAAAUAAUACAGCACAGCAAAAGAUCUUCUUCUGCCUUUUUCAGGUGAUUUGCCAAAAAUCGUAAAUAAAUUUUCUUACCUCUGACCAGCUUCUGCAUGUCCUCCCUUAUCUUUGUUCCUCAAUCUGCCAGACAUUGUAGAGCUUAAAAUAGUCCUUGGAGUUCAGAACAAAGAAUAAUUGAAGCAGAGUGUCACCAACAGAUGGUAAUCAGUGGAGUCAAAUUUUCUUCAGAGAUUCUUUGAGGAUUCUCAUUUGGACUUCAAGAAAGAGUGCUGUGUUUGUGUAACCCUGAGGCAUUGCAUGGGAAAGAAUUUCCCAACCCCACCUACAAGAUACUCCACAUGAAUACAGUCUUCCUU
rnacentral:lncRNA from 1 species